rnacentral:lncRNA from 1 species
AAAGAACAUCACGUUCCACUUCACGAAGGAAGACGCACCUGACAAGGCAUCCGUCACUGUCGAUGACGAUGACGGUCAAAAGCAGGAAGCUAGAGCCAUCUAUGCCGACUACCAGACCUGCGCCGUGUUGGAGAUUCCUUAUAAUGGAAAUCCACAGUGCAUUCUGUGGACUACGGACGAAGCCAAAGACAAUGUCUCAAGUAAAUGUACUGAGCAAUUCCGAAAGAACUGCGACGUAGAAGUUAUCGCUUACGAUAAGGAGUCCUGCAGUCAAGUAUAAUGGGACGGACCGCGUGAAAAAAACUGCUUCUUUAGUAUAAUACCUAUUGCUUGUGUAUUUGUAUAGUCCGCAGAAAAUAAAACGCUAAAAAAUAUCUGGAG